rnacentral:rRNA from 1 species
UACGGGGGGGGCAAGCGUUGUUCGGAAUUACUGGGCGUAAAGGGCUCGUAGGCGGCCAACUAAGUCAGACGUGAAAUCCCUCGGCUUAACCGGGGAACUGCGUCUGAUACUGGAUGGCUUGAGUUUGGGAGAGGGAUGCGGAAUUCCAGGUGUAGCGGUGAAAUGCGUAGAUAUCUGGAGGAACACCGGUGGCGAAGGCGGCAUCCUGGACCAACACUGACGCUGAGGAGCGAAAAGCCAGGGGGAGCAAACGGGGAUUAAGAAAACCCGA